GGAGGGAUAUCGAAGCGGUCAUAACGAGGCGGUCUUGAAAACCGUUUGCCCAAAAGGCACAAGGGUUCGAAUCCCUUUCCCUCCGCCA
rnacentral:tRNA from 1 species